rnacentral:rRNA from 1 species
UACGGAGGGGGCUAGCGUUGUUCGGAAUUACUGGGCGUAAAGCGCACGUAGGCGGCUUUGUAAGUUAGAGGUGAAAGCCCGGGGCUCAACUCCGGAAUUGCCUUUAAGACUGCAUCGCUCGAAUUGUGGAGAGGUGAGUGGAAUUCCGAGUGUAGAGGUGAAAUUCGUAGAUAUUCGGAAGAACACCAGUGGCGAAGGCGACUCACUGGACACGUAUUGACGCUGAGGUGCGAAAGCGUGGGGAGCAAACAGG